rnacentral:rRNA from 1 species
UUAAGGCUGAGACGUGAUGCCGAGCCGAUUCAGGUGAAGUCAGUGAUCCUAUGCUGCCGAGAAAAGCCUCUAGCGAGUUCUUAGCGGCCCGUACCCCAAACCGACACAGGUGGUCAGGUAGAGAAUACCAAGGCGACGGGCGAACUGUGGUUAAGGAACUCGGCAAAUUACCCCCGUAACUUCGGGAGAAGGGGGGCCGGACACGUGAAGCAACACGCUUGUGGAGCGUGGUAUGGCCGCAGAGACCAGGGGGAAGCGACUGUUUACUAAAAACACAGGUCCAUGCGAAGAAGUAGUUCGAUGUAUAUGGACUGACGCCUGCCCGGUGCUGGAACGUUAAGGGGACCUGUUAGCUCUUCGGGGCGAAGCGGAGAACUUAAGCGCCAGUAAACGGCGGUGGUAACUAUAACCAUCCUAAGGUAGCGAAAUUCCUUGUCGGGUAAGUUCCGACCUGCACGAAUGGCGUAACGACUUCCCUACUGUCUCAACCACAGGCCCGGCGAAAUUGCAGUACGAGUAAAGAUGCUCGUUACGCGCGGCAGGACGGAAAGACCCCGGGACCUUUACUAUAGCUUGACAUUGGUAUCUGAGUUAAUUUGUGUAGGAUAGGUGGGAGCCUGUGAAGCUCGUACGCCAGUACGGGUGGAGGCAAUCUUGAAAUACCACUCUGGUUGAUUCGGGUAUCUAACUUCGGACCGUGAUCCGGUUCAGGGACAGUGUCUGGUGGGUAGUUUAACUGGGGCGGUUGCCUCCUAAAGAGUAACGGAGGCGCCCAAAGGUUCCCUCAGCCUGGUUGGCAAUCAGGUGUUGAGUGUAAGUGCACAAGGGAGCUUGACUGUGAGACUGACAGGUCGAGCAGGGACGAAAGUCGGGACUAGUGAUCCGGCACCGGCAUGUGGAAGCGGUGUCGCUCAACGGAUAAAAGGUACCCCGGGGAUAACAGGCUGAUCUUCCCCAAGAGUCCAUAUCGACGGGAUGGUUUGGCACCUCGAUGUCGGCUCGUCGCAUCCUGGGGCUGUAGCAGGUCCCAAGGGUUGGGCUGUUCGCCCAUUAAAGCGGUACGCGAGCUGGGUUUAGAACGUCGUGAGACAGUUCGGUCCCUAUCCGCCGUGCGCGUAGGAUACUUGAGAAGGGCUGUCCCUAGUACGAGAGGACCGGGACGGACGAACCUCUGGUGUGCCAGUUGUCCCGCCAGGGGCACGGCUGGUUAGCUACGUUCGGAAGGGAUAACCGCUGAAAGCAUCUAAGCGGGAAGCUCGCUUCAAGAUGAGGUAUCCC